rnacentral:rRNA from 1 species
GUCCAGACUCCUACGGGAGGCAGCAGUGGGGGAUAUUGCACAAUGGGGGAAACCCUGAUGCAGCGACGCCGCGUGAGUGAAGAAGUAUUUCGGUAUGUAAAGCUCUAUCAGCAGGGAAGAAGAUGACAGUACCUGAGUAAGAAGCCCCGGCUAACUACGUGCCAGCAGCCGCGGUAAUACGUAGGGGGCAAGCGUUAUCCGGAUUUACUGGGUGUAAAGGGAGCGUAGACGGAUGGAUAAGUCUGAAGUGAAAGCCCGGGGCCCAACCCCGGGACUGCUCUGGAAACUGCGUCGCUGGAGUACGGGAGGGGCAGGCGGAAUUCCUGGUGUAGCGGUGAAAUGCGUAGAUAUCAGGAGGAACACCGGCGGCGAAGGCGGCCUGCUGGACCGUGACUGACGUUGAGGCUCGAGAGCGUGGGGAGCAAACAGGAUUAGAUACCCCUGUA